GUAGGUGAACCUGCGGAAGGAUCAUUAUUAUUAGAAAAGAUGCGGGAUGAAAUGCCCGUACUUCUAAACCCUAUGUUAACACACCUUUGUUGCUUUGGCAGGCCGCGGCCUCCGCUGCGGGCUCACGCUCGCACGUGCCUGCCAGAGGACCCAACUCUUGAUUUUAGUGAUGUCUGAGUACUAUUAAAUAGUUAAAACUUUCAACAACGGAUCUCUUGGUUCUG
rnacentral:misc_RNA from 1 species